rfam:Asian citrus Psyllid, Diaphorina citri - Florida Strain, whole genome shotgun sequence.
GCUCCCAUGGCGUAGUGGUCACUGCACUCGCCUUGCACGCGGGAGACCCGGGUUCGAUUCCCGGCGGGGCA